rnacentral:rRNA from 1 species
UAGGGAAUCUUCCGCAAUGGGCGCAAGCCUGACGGAGCAACGCCGCGUGAGUGAUGACGGCCUUCGGGUUGUAAAACUCUGUCUUCUGUGAAGAAUACGCCUGUGAGUGGAAAGCUCAGGUUUUGACGGUAACAGAGGAGGAAGCCCCGGCUAACUACGUGCCAGCAGCCGCGGUAAUACGUAGGGGGCAAGCGUUGUCCGGAAUCACUGGGCGUAAAGCGCGCGCAGGCGGUCAUUUACGUCUGGGGUGAAAGCCCGGAGCUCAACUCCGGGAUUGCCUUGGAUACGGGAUGACUUGAGGAUCGGAGAGGCAAGGGGAAUUCCACGUGUAGCGGUGAAAUGCGUAGAGAUGUGGAGGAACACCUGUGGCGAAGGCGCCUUGCUGGCCGAUUUCUGACGCUGAGGCGCGAAAGCGUGGGGAGCAAACAGGAUUAGAUACCCCCGUAGUCC